AAAGCACCAAGGAGCAGGUAUCAGGCACGACCAGUUAGCCCAAAACACCUUGCUACGCCACACCCACACGGGUACCCAGCAGUGAUAAAUAUUAAGCAAUGAGUGAAAGCCAACUCAAGCUCGACUUAGUUAUGAUUAUUAGGGUCGGUAAACCUCGUGCCAGCCACCGCGGUUAUACGAGGGGCCCAAAACAACGGACACCGGCGUAAAUUGUGACUAGAGCAUCUACUUAUAUAUUGGGGAAUAAACAAAAACUCGACCGUAAAACCUGAGCCAAAAGAAAUACACCUCCCCAACUACAAAGAAGCUUGAACCCACGAAGACUAAGAAACAAACUAGGAUUAGAUACCCUACUAUGCUUAGCUGUUAACAUGAUACCAAAAAACACCAGUAUCCGCCAGAAAAUUACACGCGAAAAGCUUAAAACUCAAAGGACUUGGCGGUGCUCCGUAUUCGCCUUAGAGGAGCCUGUCCUAUAAUCGAUAACCCACGCUUUACCUUACCAUCUUUUGUCUAAACAGCCUAUAUACCGCCGUCGCAAACUUACCCCAUGAGGGCAUAACAGUAAGUAAAACAGUAACGCACUAACACGUCAGGUCAAGGUGUAGCUAAUAAGAUGGAAGAGAUGGGCUACAUUUUCUAAAACAGAACACACGGCAAAGAGCAUUGAAAUAUGCCCUAAAAGGUGGAUUUAAUAGUAAGAUAGAAAAGAAAACCUAUCUAAAAC
rnacentral:rRNA from 1 species